GACGAACGCUGGCGGCGUGCCUAACACAUGCAAGUCGAGCGGGGUGGUUCGUGAAGGGCAACCGGAGGGAUCACCUAGCGGCGAACGGGUGAGUAACGCGUGGAUAACCUACCUCAAGGUCUGGGAUAACAGCUCGAAAGGGCUGCUAAUACCGGAUGUGGUGCAUAUGCUGCAUGGUAGAUGCACUAAAGGGGAAACCCGCCAUGAGAUGGGUCCGCGUCCCAUCAGCUAGUUGGUGGGGUAAAGGCCUACCAAGGCGACGACGGGUAGCCGGCCUGAGAGGGUGACCGGCCACACUGGGACUGAGACACGGCCCAGACUCCUACGGGGGGGCAGCAGUGGGGAAUAUUGCACAAUGGGCGAAAGCCUGAUGCAGCGACGCCGCGUGGCGAAGAAGGCCUUGGUUGUAAGCUCUGUCUGGAGGGACGAACAAAAUGACGGUACCUCCGGAGGAAGCCACGGCUAACUACGUGCCAGCAGCCGCGGUAACAUACUCGUA
rnacentral:rRNA from 1 species